ACACUUACCUGUCAGGGGAGAUGCUGUGAUCACGAAACUGGUUUCCAAGGGUGAGGCUUCUCCGUGGCCUCCGGAUGAGGGCAGCCCUGCAAUUUCCGCAAGUGCGGGAAACUCGACUGCAUCAUUUGUGGUGGGGGGCAGUGCACUCCAGCUUCCCCCCA
rnacentral:snRNA from 1 species